rnacentral:rRNA from 1 species
UGAGGAAUAUUGGUCAAUGGGCGCGAGCCUGAACCAGCCAAGUAGCGUGAAGGAUGAAGGUCCUAUGGAUUGUAAACUUCUUUUAUAGCAGAAUAAAGUGACCCACGUGUGGGUUUUUGUAUGUAUGCUAUGAAUAAGCACCGGCUAACUCCGUGCCAGCAGCCGCGGUAAUACGGAGGGUGCAAGCGUUAUCCGGAUUUAUUGGGUUUAAAGGGUCCGUAGGCGGACUUAUAAGUCAGUGGUGAAAGCCUGUCGCUUAACGAUAGAACUGCCAUUGAUACUGUAAGUCUUGGGUAUAUUUGAGGUAGCUGGAAUAAGUAGUGUAGCGGUGAAAUGCAUAGAUAUUACUUAGAACACCAAUUGCGAAGGCAGGUUACCAAGAUAUAACUGACGCUGAGGGACGAAAGCGUGGGGAGCGAACA